UAUGCCAAGGACCAGUGGGUAUUUUCUGUGGGCCGAGUAGUCUUCUGGGACAGUCUCCCAGCUUGGCCUCAGAGCCAUGUGUUAGUGAACAGCAGUGGCUGGUUUCCAAUAACCUGCAUUUAUCAAAGCAGGCUGGCAGAAGCACUGGCCCUAGCUUGCCAGUUUCUGACCCACCUAGUCAUGGGCAGCCCCACCCCCAGAUAGCAACUGGAGAACGGGAUGUGGACUGCUGUGAGGCAGAGAUGGAGACAAAGCAAAGAAAAUCUGUGAAGAGACUCUGGAGAGGGAGGCAGAAGGAAGGAGCCGCUGGAAGGGGAAGCAAGACAGAAGAAUGGGGACUGGGAAGGGAACUGGGGAUGGAUACCUGGCUAUUUGAUGAUGCACCCGUCGAAACAUUAAUCCUCCUUUAAAGAAAACCCUUUAAUGUCUGCACCACUUUUCUCCAGAUUUCUAGAAUAGUCUGUAUCUCACUCCUCUUGAUUCGCAUGCUGGCAGGGGAGGUUAGCAUUGCAGUGCCGAGGCUGGCUUCAAGACAGUCCAGCUACAUUUGGGCUGCAGUCAAGGUUGUUGGAAAAUUAAAAUCUUACCACUUGCACAAUAAAUUAAUGAUGCUCCCCCUUCACUCUGGAAAACAUCUACGUUUGGAUAAGAGAUUAGGCAUCACUCUUUCUAAAAGAAGCCUGCCUGUGCUCAAUAUUCCAAUUUCUGCCUUUAGUACCUAUUUCUACAAGAGUGCAAACCAGAACAAAGAACAAGAAGAAACAAGACUUCCUACUCUAUUUAAUGCAUGAAAGAAUGGAGCAACACACCGUAGCUUCUGCUGGAUGCGUUAAGGUGGGUGUUGGUUCCUUUCCAGGGUGGAGCACAACAGAUGACAGAAGAGGAAACCUAUAACUUCAACUUAAGCCUUCCAUCAAAAGAGCUGCAGUGGUUUAAUUUAAGAGAAAAAAUAAAUUUCUGAAUAAAUAUGUUA
rnacentral:lncRNA from 1 species